rfam:Hordeum vulgare subsp. vulgare, WGS project CAJW01000000 data, contig: morex_contig_1874953
GUAGUACUCCCUCCGUCCCAAAAUUCUUGUCUUAGCUUUAUCUAGAAAUGGAUGUAUCUAAAUACUAAAUUUGACUAGAUAUAUUCGUAUCUAAACAAAUAUCAGACAAGAAUUUUAGGACGGAGGGAGUAGUAU